rnacentral:rRNA from 1 species
CCUACGUGUCGCAGCAGUGAGGAAUAUUGGUCAAUGGACGAGAGUCUUAACCAGCCAAGUAGCGUGAAGGAUGACUGCCCUAUGGGUUGUAAACUUCUUUUAUAUGGGAAUAAAAUGUUCCACGUGUGGGAUUUUGUAUGUCCCAUAUGAAUAAGGCUCGGCUAACUCCGUGCCAGCAGCCGCGGUAAUACGGAGGAUCCGCGCGUUAUCCGGAUUUAUUGGGUUUAAAGGGAGCUUAGGUGGAUUGUUAAGUCAGUUGGGAAAGUUUGCGGCUCAACCGUAAAAUUGCAGUUGAAACUGGCAGUCUUGAGUACAGUAGAGGAGGGCGGAAUUCGUGGUGUAGCGGUGGAAUGCUUAGAUAUCACGAAGAACACCGAUUGCGAAGGCAAUUCACUGGACUGCAACUGACACUGAGGCUCGAAAGUGUGGGUAUCAAACAGGAGUAGAUACCCUUGUAGUC